GAUGAACGCUAGCUACAGGCUUAACACAUGCAAGUCGAGGGGUUUUUGAUUAGAAGCUUGCUUUUGAUUAGAAACGACCGGCGCACGGGUGAGUAACGCGUAUCCAACCUGCCUCUCAUAUUGGGAUAGCCUUUUGAAAGAGAGAUUAAUACCGAAUAACAUAUUGAGUUUGCAUGAAAUCAAUAUGAAAGCUCCGGCGAUGAGAGAUGGGGAUGCGUUUCAUUAGGUAGUAGGCGGGGUAACGGCCCACCUAGCCGACGAUGAAUAGGGGUUCUGAGAGGAAGGUCCCCCANACUGGAACUGAGACACGGUCCAGACUCCUACGGGAGGCAGCAGUGAGGAAUAUUGGGUCCAAAUGGGGCGCAAGCCUGAACCAGCCAAGUAGCGUGAAGGAUGACUGCCCUAUGGGUUGUAAACUGCUUUGUAUAAGGGUAAAUUGGGUACGUGUACCCAACUGAAAGUACUAUACGAAUAAGGGUCGGCUAACUCCGU
rnacentral:rRNA from 1 species